rnacentral:rRNA from 1 species
UACGUAGGGCGCAAGCGUUGUCCGGAAUUAUUGGGCGUAAAGAGCUCGUAGGCGGUCUGUCGCGUCGGCUGUGAAAACUCGGGGCUCAACUCCGAGCCUGCAGUCGAUACGGGCAGACUAGAGUGCUGUAGGGGAGACUGGAAUUCCUGGUGUAGCGGUGAAAUGCGUAGAUAUCUGGAGGAACACCGGUGGCGAAGGCGGCGUUCUGGACUGCAACUGACACUGAAAAACGAAAGCCAGGGGAGCAAACGGG